rnacentral:rRNA from 1 species
CAGAACGAACGCUGGUGGCGUGUCUUAUACAUGCAAGUCGAGCGAGGCAGCAAUGCCGAGCGGCGAACGGGUGAGUAACGCGUAAGCAAUCUGCCCCAUAUCAGGAAAUACCCGUGCCAACGCGCGGUUAAUGUCCAGGAGAGUGGCCCUCCGCAUGGAGGGUUGACUAGAGAUUUAUCGGUAUGGGAUGAGCUUGCGUCCGAUUAGCUAGUUGGCGGGGCAACGGCCCACCAAGGCGACGAUCGGUAGCCGGCCUGAGAGGGUGAUCGGCCACAUUGGGACUGAGAUACGGCCCAGACUCCUACGGGAGGCAGCAGUAGGGAAUAUUGCACAAUGGGGGAAACCCUGAUGCAGCAACGCCCACGUGUGGGAAGAAGCAUUUCGGUGUGUAAACCACUGUCAUGAGGGAAUAAGGCCCGCCUUCGGACGGGAUUGAAUGUACCUUGAAAGGAAGCACCGGCAAACUUCGUGCCAGCCGCCGC